CAGAUUACUGGAUACUGUAGAGAUCCCAGCUCCUUUCAGAACAUGCCAUGCCCCUUAUUACUGCCUUCCUCUUCAAGAAUGGGCUCACCAUGACUGCUUAACCUGCUUGGUUCCUCAUAUCAGCUCUACUGUUCAUCUGACUGCAUGCUGAGAAAAUUCAGCUUACUGAUCUCUUAGAAAAUGAGUUCUUUAAAAAAAGGCAGAAAAAAAUAAUAGCACGGUUUUCUGACCAUU